rnacentral:rRNA from 1 species
CCCAGACUCCUACGGGAGGCAGCAGUGGGGAAUAUUGCACAAUGGGGGAAACCCUGAUGCAGCGACGCCGCGUGGAGGAAGAAGGUCUUCGGAUUGUAAACUCCUGUUGUUGAGGAAGAUAAUGACGGUACUCAACAAGGAAGUGACGGCUAACUACGUGCCAGCAGCCGCGGUAAAACGUAGGUCACAAGCGUUGUCCGGAAUUACUGGGUGUAAAGGGAGCGCAGGCGGGAAGACAAGUUGGAAGUGAAAUCCAUGGGCUCAACCCAUGAACUGCUUUCAAAACUGUUUUUCUUGAGUAGUGCAGAGGUAGGCGGAAUUCCCGGUGUAGCGGUGGAAUGCGUAGAUAUCGGGAGGAACACCAGUGGCGAAGGCGGCCUACUGGGCACCAACUGACGCUGAGGCUCGAAAGUGUGGGUAGCAAACAGGAUUAGAUACCCUGGUAGUCCACACUGUAAACGAUGAUUACUAGGUGUUGGAGGAUUGACCCCUUCAGUGCCGCAGUUAACACAAUAAGUAAUCCACCUGGGGAGUACGACCGCAAGGUUGAAACUCAAAGGAAUUGACGGGGGCCCGCACAAGCAGUGGAGUAUGUGGUUUAAUUCGACGCAACGCGAAGAACCUUACCAAGUCUUGACAUCCUGCGACGGUUCUGGAAACAGAACUUUCCUUCGGGACGCAGAGACAGGUGGUGCAUGGUUGUCGUCAGCUCGUGUCGUGAGAUGUUGGGUUAAGUCCCGCAACGAGCGCAACCCUUAUGGUCAGUUACUACGCAAGAGGACUCUGGCCAGACUGCCGUUGACAAAACGGAGGAAGGUGGGGAUGACGUCAAAUCAUCAUGCCCUUUAUGACUUGGGCUACACACGUACUACAAUGGCGUUAAACAAAGAGAAGCAAGACCGCGAGGUGGAGCAAAACUCAGAAACAACGUCCCAGUUCGGACUGCAGGCUGCAACUCGCCUGCACGAAGUCGGAAUUGCUAGUAAUCGCAGAUCAG